CAGGAUGUUGCUGCCCAGGGAGUCCUGGCGAAGAGGUUUACUCAUUCCAGAAGCAAGAAUUGUAUCAUUGUAAGGCGAAUGGAAAUAAACUGACAUCGACUGA